rnacentral:rRNA from 1 species
CCUACGGGAGCAGCAGUAGGGAAUAUUGGGCAAUGGUCGCAAGACUGACCCAGCCACGCCGCGUGCAGGAAGAAGAAUCUCUGAUUUGUAAACUGCUUUAGCAGGGGAAGAAAAAGGGCGUGCGCGCUCAACUGACGGUACCCUGAGAAUAAGCACCGGCUAACUCCGUGCCAGCAGCCGCGGUAAUACGGGGGGUGCAAGCGUUGUCCGGAUUUAUUGGGUUUAAAGGGUGCGUAGGCGGCCCAUUAAGUGAAUGUUUAAAGUUUUCAGCUUAACUGAAGGAAUGGCAUUCAUACUGAUGGGCUUGAAUAUGGUUAAGGUAGGCGGAAUUUAUGGUGUAGCGGUGAAAUGCUCAGAUACCGAUAAGGAACACCGAUAGCGAAGGCAGCUUACCGAGCCAUGAUUGACGCUGAGGCACGAAAGUGUGGGGAUCAAACAGGAUUAGAUACCCCUGGUAGUCCCACACUAGUAACGAUAGUAUUACUACGUAUGUUGGUCGAUAUACUAGUACAGCGUCCGUACG